UACCAGCACCCCGAGUGGUCGGGACGUUUAUUGGGCCUAAAGCAUCCGUAGCCGGUUCUACAAGUCUUCCGUUAAAUCCAGCUGCUUAACAGAUGGGCUGCGGAAGAUACUAUGGAGCUAGGAGGCGGGAGAGGCAAGCGGUACUCGAUGGGUAGGGGUAAAAUCCGUUGAUCCAUUGAAGACCACCAGUGGCGAAGGCGGCUUGCCAGAACGCGCUCGACGGUGAGGGAUGAAAGCUGGGGGGAGCAAACAGG
rnacentral:rRNA from 1 species